AUGGAGUAUUUCAGACCAUUCUUAACUGUUCUUCUGGUCUUCAAUGGAAUUUACGGAUCCUCAAGCACCACAACUGUUCCAAGCACAACAACUGCUCCAAUAACAGCUGCUCCAACCAUACAGGCAACACAGGGAGGAGCCACACUUCCAGCUGCCACAACAACAACAACUGCACUGAUAACUACAGGGUCAACAAUAGCUACAACGUCAUCGACCUCCAUCAUCACCGGGUCAACCAUACAGUCAAUACUGGGUGUUUUUAUCUGGAUGAUGUGGCUCCUUCAGUAGAGCAUUGAGGAGAAAGUAGAGGAAAAGCAGCCCACAGCAAUCAAUUUAUGAGCAAUUUUGAUGCCUUAAAUAUUUCAUUAAGUUUAGAGUUUAUUAUCGUUGAUCUUCAAUGUUUGGCUAAGCUAUCUAUUUAUGGUUGAUAUUUCUUAAUAUUUUUCUUGUCACAUUUGUGAAGUAAUAUAUUAGCAUUAAAAAUAUUUUUUUCCAAAUAUGUUUUGACGUAGAUUCAUUACAUAUAAAACAUACCGAAAGUAAUAUAUUUAAACAAAGAUCUAUUAAAAAUCUCAGAACUAUUAAAAGAAGUUGACAGAUUGUUUCGGUGUUCAUCCAAACACCAUAAGAAAUGUAUUACCAUGAUAAUUGUGUAUACAUAAAUGAGAAACUUAGAGCAAGCCUAGAGCAUUAUACAACAUAUUUGCUUAAAUUACAGCAUAAGUUCUACAUUUCUUUCAAAUAUGUCGACUAUUUAAAUUACAAUUUAAAAUCUGUGGUUUCAAUAAAUCAUAAAUGUCACAUUUUUCCUCAACUUUAUUGAGAAUUAUAAAGAAUAUUGUAAUUAAUCAAAUUAUAAACAUAUAACAUACAACAUGUGUAUUUUGUACUAUUUGUACUAUUACUGAUUGUCAUUAACCUGAUUGUGUCAUUUAUAUGUUUGUAUAAAUCAAUU